CCUACGGGUGGCAGCAGUGGGGAAUAUUGGACAAUGGGCGAAAGCCUGAUCCAGCCAUGCCGCGUGUGUGAAGAAGGCCUUCGGGUUGUAAAGCACUUUCAGUGGGGAAGAAAGCCUUGGGGCUAAUACCCUCGAGGAAGGACAUCACCCACAGAAGAAGCACCGGCUAACUCCGUGCCAGCAGCCGCGGUAAUACGGAGGGUGCGAGCGUUAAUCGGAAUUACUGGGCGUAAAGCGCGCGUAGGCGGUCUGAUAAGCCGGUUGUGAAAGCCCCGGGCUCAACCUGGGAACGGCAUCCGGAACUGUCAGGCUAGAGUGCAGGAGAGGAAGGUAGAAUUCCCGGUGUAGCGGUGAAAUGCGUAGAGAUCGGGAGGAAUACCAGUGGCGAAGGCGGCCUUCUGGACUGACACUGACGCUGAGGUGCGAAAGCGUGGGUAGCAAACAGGAUUAGAUACCCGUGGUAGUC
rnacentral:rRNA from 1 species